AAACACGCGCUUGCUUCCAUAGAACAUAUGGAAAGAUACAGAGAAGAUUAGCACAGUCCUUGUGCAAGGAUGGUAUGUAAAUUCAGGAAGCUGCCGUAUUUCAU
ensembl:snRNA U6 U6 spliceosomal RNA